GAUGAACGCUGGCGGCGUGCCUAAUACAUGCAAGUCGAGCGAACGGACGAGAAGCUUGCUUCUCUGAUGUUAGCGGCGGACGGGUGAGUAACACGUGGAUAACCUACCUAUAAGACUGGGAUAACUUCGGGAAACCGGAGCUAAUACCGGAUGAUAUUUUGAACCGCAUGGUUCAAAAGUGAAAGACGGUCUUGCUGUCACUUAUAGAUGGAUCCGCGCUGCAUUAGCUAGUUGGUAAGGUAACGGCUUACCAAGGCAACGAUGCACAGCCGACCUGAGAGGGUGAUCGGCCACACUGGAACUGAGACACGGUCCAGACUCCUACGGGAGGCAGCAGUAGGGAAUCUUCCGCAAUGGGCGAAAGCCUGACGGAGCAACGCCGCGUGAGUGAUGAAGGUCUUCGGAUCGUAAAACUCUGUUAUUAGGGAAGAACAUAUGUGUAAGUAACUGUGCACAUCUUGACGGUACCUAAUCAGAAAGCCACGGCUAACUACGUG
rnacentral:rRNA from 1 species